rnacentral:lncRNA from 1 species
GACGGUACAUUCGUGGCGAAUGCUGAUCCUGGAGAACGCAAUCUAGCCAACAGGUGCCAUGAUUGGCUAACACCUGCUCAAUAUCUGUAUUCUGCAUGUAGAGCUAGCAUUCAUGCAUUCAGGUUCUGGCACAUCACCUUCCCACUUGUGGAGGCAGUCCUAUGUUAAAUUUUCUUCUUACACGCAAUGACAAUGAUUGGGUGCGUCUGCUUUGUCUUCGUUAAUUUUCUUCUAGUGCUUGCCUUCUCAUGUUUACCGGAUGGGGCUGCUGAUGUCUUGUUUUCCUCAAG